AGGAGGAACAACCCCAGUGGCGGGGCCAGCUUUGGAGCCCUGGAUUCAGCCCCCGCAGUAACUACGGAGCUCUCGGUCCACAGGGUCUGGAUGCUCCAGGGGCGG
rnacentral:pre_miRNA from 1 species